GCCCAGAUAGCUCAGUCGGUAGAGCAGGGGAUUGAAAAUCCCCGUGUCGGCGGUUCGAUUCAGUCUCUGGGCACCA
rnacentral:tRNA from 1 species